rnacentral:rRNA from 1 species
AGAGCGAACGCUGGCGGCAGGCUUAACACAUGCAAGUCGAGCGGGCGUAGCAAUACGUCAGCGGCAGACGGGUGAGUAACGCGUGGGAACGUACCUUUUGGUUCGGAACAACACAGGGAAACUUGUGCUAAUACCGGAUAAGCCCUUACGGGGAAAGAUUUAUCGCCGAAAGAUCGGCCCGCGUCUGAUUAGCUAGUUGGUGUGGUAACGGCGCACCAAGGCGACGAUCAGUAGCUGGUCUGAGAGGAUGAUCAGCCACAUUGGGACUGAGACACGGCCCAAACUCCUACGGGAGGCAGCAGUGGGGAAUAUUGGACAAUGGGCGCAAGCCUGAUCCAGCCAUGCCGCGUGAGUGAUGAAGGCCCUAGGGUUGUAAAGCUCUUUUGUGCGGGAAGAUAAUGACGGUACCGCAAGAAUAAGCCCCGGCUAACUUCGUGCCAGCAGCCGC